UAUCAUGGCUCAGGAUGAACGCUAGCUACAGGCUUAACACAUGCAAGUCGAGGGGCAGCAUGGUCUUAGCUUGCUAAGGCCGAUGGCGACCGGCGCACGGGUGAGUAACACGUAUCCAACCUGCCGUCUACUCUUGGACAGCCUUCUGAAAGGAAGAUUAAUACAAGAUGGCAUCAUGAGUUCACAUGUUCACAUGAUUAAAGGUAUUCCGGUAGACGAUGGUG
rnacentral:rRNA from 1 species